UCCAUGUUCCUGUCAGUUACACUCUCUUCAAAUUCUAACAAGAUUUUAAGCUCUCCUCUUAUCUCCUCCUCCUCUUCCCCUGAUUGCUGUUGCAUCUGCUUGUUUCAGCUAUCUUUGGUUCCAUCCAUCACCAUACUAACAAUUUGUAGGAGAAGUUAUAGUGAACAACCCCUGCAGUCUUCCAUUCAACAGUUCUUCCUUACCUGUUAACAUAUCCUGCAGCCAGAGGCAGCCCUAGGUAAUUUUCAAUGAAUUAUGGACAGAUUCAUCUAGUUCAGCCAAGUUGUUCAAAUCACUGUCCUUCAUUGUACAAAAAGAACUGAACAGAACAAACCACUUCCCUCUUUGCCAUCUAUGGACCUCAUCACAUUAAUAGGCCCCCAGUUCCGUUUCACCGAUGAAUAGAAGGUGAAGGAAAGGCACAUGUGAUGGCUUGCAGCGACCUGCACACCCUCCCUCCUUCCCCCAUCACAUGGAGACAUCGGGACCUCUGGAAUGGGAAAAUAGCCAGGGCAGUGGACACAAUCACUCCUGAAUGGAGCAGAGCCCAACCAGCCCCCUGGUUUUCCAAGAAGUUGGCAGUGAUGAAGCAAGUGAGAUGGAAGCUAAAAUGACGUUGGCGGAGAAAGCCUACUCUGUGGCAAUGGAGGCAGCAGAGAAAUCGUUCCCUGCUGACACCAUUGCAUCUGCAAGGAACCGUCCAGCUGAGCUGUUUUGUGAUUAAUAUGUUUUUAUUUUCAAUUUGCAUAUUCAUUAAAAACAGUGAAACAAAUCUAUAUACAUGUACAUAUGCAUGAACCAAAACUUCCUAACAUCUAUAUAAUAGUUGUGUUGGUUAUGCUCUCCCCUUUUCCCAGCCCUCCCAAUUUAGUGACUUCAUGUCCCUUGGGUUGAAAACAUUAAUAUAUUUCCAUUCUUCCUUCCUAUUACAUUGUUUUGCUAUUCUUCCUUCUGGCCUAAUAUUUAUUAUUUAUAAAUUCCCUACACAGAUUCUAACAGAUUAAAUUAUUAAGCCUUCUAUAAAACUUUUUGUUCCUUCUUUUUUUUUACAUAGGUUAGAAAUGGUUCCCAGUCCUUGAUAAAGUUUUUUGUGUUUUUUUCUUUGUUAUCAUUGCUAAUUUGUCAAUUUCUGCUAUUUUAAAGACUUUAAGUAUCCACCCUUCUAUUGUUGGGAAGUCUGCCUUCUUCCAGAACUGGGUGUAUAAUGUUCCUGCUGCUAUUAUCAUAUAAUGUAAUACUUUAUAGCAGUGGUUCUCAACCUGUGGUCCAUGGACCACCAGUGGUCCACAAGAACUAAAAUAAGGUCCGCAGUCUCACUGUUACUACACCGUUGCAACAAGAGCGACUGGUCUCACAAAACCUUCUUAUAGUAUUGAGGCUUAUUAAAUAUGGUUUUCUGUUUCAUUAACCACCUCAUCAGACGGGGUGAUUUUAGCUUCCUAGGACAUUUCCACCCCAUGACUGAUGGGUUCGCUGCCCAUCUGAUGAUGCAAGGGAGCUUCCUGUGGAAGGCCUGCACCCCAACACAGGGCCUCCCCACAAUGACAACGCUUUCCUCUUGUGAUGGGAGCUUCCUCUCCAGCAGCUUUUUGUAUAAACAUGCCUGCUUUCUUUGU